CCUACGGGAGGCAGCAGUAGGGAAUUUUCCGCAAUGGGCGAAAGCCUGACGGAGCAAUACCGCGUGAGGGAUGACGGCCUGUGGGUUGUAAACCUCUUUUCUCAAGGAGGAAGUUCUGACGGUACUUGAGGAAUAAGCAUCGGCUAACUCUGUGCCAGCAGCCGCGGUAAUACAGAGGAUGCAAGCGUUAUCCGGAAUCACUGGGCAUAAAGCGUCUGUAGGUUGUUUAGUAAGUCUGCUGUUAAAGACUGGGGCUUAACCCCAGAAAAGCAGUGGAAACUGCUAGACUCGAGUGUGGUAGAGGUAGAGGGAAUUCCUAGUGUAGCGGUGAAAUGCGUAGAUAUUAGGAAGAACACCAAUGGCGAAGGCACUCUACUGGGCCAUAACUGACACUGAGAGACGACAGCUAGGGGAGCAAACGGGAUUAGAUACCCCGGUAGUCCUAGCCGUAAACGAUGGAUACUAGAUGUUGCACGUAUUAACCCGUGCAGUAUCGUAGCUAAGGCGUUAAGUAUCCCGCCUGGGAAGUACGCUCGCAAGAGUGAAACUCAAGGAAUUGACGGCUGAGAGNGCGAGACGACGACGAGGGAGAGG
rnacentral:rRNA from 1 species